rnacentral:rRNA from 1 species
GACGAACGCUGGCGGCGUGCCUAAUACAUGCAAGUAGAGCGCUGAGGCGAGGAGCUUACUCUUCUUGGGUUAGUUGCGGACGGGUGAGUAACGCGUAGGUAACCUGCCUUUUAGCCGGGGAUAACUACUGGAAACGGUAGCUAAUACCGCAUAACAAGGGAUGCCACAUGGCUUAUCAGUGAAAGAGGGUAUUGCUCCACUACAUAGUGGAACUGCGUUGUAUUAGCUAGUUGGUGAGGUAAUGGCUUACCUAGGCGAAGAUUCGUAGCCGACCUGAGAGGGUGAUCGGCCACACUGGGACUGAGACACGGCCCAGACUCCUACGGGAGGCAGCAGUAGGGAAUCUUCGGCAAUGGGGGCAAGCCUGACGGAGCAACGCCGCGUGAGUGAAGAAGGUCUUCGGAUCGUAAAGCUCUGUUGUAAGGGAAGAACGGGUGUGAGAGUGGAUAGGCCAGUCUUUGAGGGUACCUUACCAGAAAGCGACGGCAAACUCCGU